rnacentral:rRNA from 1 species
CCUACGGGAGCAGCAGUGGGGAAUCUUGCGCAAUGGGCGAAAGCCUGACGCAGCAACGCCGCGUGCGGGAAGAAGGCUUUCGGGCUGUAAACCGCUUUCAGCAGGAACGAAAAUGACGGUACCUGCAGAAGAAGGAGCGGCCAACUAUGUGCCAGCAGCCGCGGUGAUACAUAGGCUUCAAGCGUUGUCCGGAUUUAUUGGGCGUAAAGAGUUCGUAGGCGGUCGAGUAAGUCGGGUGUGAAAAUUCUGGGCUCAACCCAGAGACGCCACCCGAUACUGCUUGACUUGAGUUCGAUAGGGGAGUGGGGAAUUCCUAGUGUAGCGGUGAAAUGCGCAGAUAUUAGGAGGAACACCGGUGGCGAAGGCGCCACUCUGGAUCGAUACUGACGCUGAGGAACGAAAGCAUGGGUAGCAAACAGGAUUAGAUACCCUGGUAGUCCAUGCCGUAAACGGUGGGCACUAGGUGUGGGUUUCUAUUAACGAAAUCCGCGCCGUCGCUAACGCAUUAAGUGCCCCGCCUGGGGGAGGUACGGUCGCAGACUAAACUACAAAGAAGUAGACGGCGNGAGACGUGCCGACGGACGACGACGAGGGAGUAGG